UCCUACGGGAGGCAGCAGUGGGGAAUAUUGCACAAUGGGGGAAACCCUGAUGCAGCGACGCCGCGUGAAGGAAGAAGGUUUUCGGAUCGUAAACUUCUAUCAGCAGGGAAGAAAAUGACGGUACCUGACUAAGAAGCCCCGGCUAACUACGUGCCAGCAGCCGCGGUAAUACGUAGGGGGCAAGCGUUAUCCGGAAUUACUGGGUGUAAAGGGAGCGUAGGCGGUAAUGUAAGUCAGAUGUGAAAGCCCGGAGCUUAACUUCGGGACUGCAUUUGAAACUGCAUAACUAGAGUACAGGAGAGGAAGGCGGAAUUCCUAGUGUAGCGGUGAAAUGCGUAGAUAUUAGGAGGAACACCAGUGGCGAAGGCGGCCUUCUGGACUGUAACUGACGCUGAGGCUCGAAAGCGUGGGGAGCGAACAGGAUUAGAUACCCUGGUAGUCCACGCUGUAAACGAUGAAUGCUAGGUGUUGGCCCGUAGAGGGUCGGUGCCGCAGCAAACGCAUUAAGCAUUCCACCUGGGGAGUACGAUCGCAAGAUUGAAACUCAAAUGAAUUGACGG
rnacentral:rRNA from 1 species